rnacentral:rRNA from 1 species
CAAGGGAGGGAGCCGUCGAAGGUGGGGCAGAUGAUUGGGGUGAAGUCGUAACAAGGUAGCCGUAUCGGAAGGUGCGGCUGGAUCACCUCCUUUCUAAGGAGC